rnacentral:rRNA from 1 species
GAGUUUGAUCCUGGCUCAGAACGUACGCUGGCGGCACGCCUAACACAUGCAAGUCGAACGCAGUAGCAAUACUGAGUGGCAAACGGGUGAGUAUAAUGUGGGAAUCUGCCUUUUGGUUCGGAAUAACACGAGGAAACUUGUGCUAAUACCGGAUAAGCCCUUACGGGGAAAGUUUUAAUGCCAAAAGAUGAGCCCGCACUUGAUUAGCUAGUUGGUAAGGUAAUGGCUUACCAAGGCAACGACCAAUAGCUGUUCUUAGAGGAAGACCAGCCACAUUGGGACUGAGACACGGCCCAAACUCCUACGGGAGGCAGCAGUGGGGAAUCUUGCACAAUGGGGGAAACCCUGAUGCAGCGAUGCCGCGUGAGUGAAGAAGGCCCUUGGGUUGUAAAACUCUUUCGUCGGGGAAGAAAAUGACUGUACCCGAAUAAGAAGCCCCGGCCAACUCCGUGCCAGCAGCCGCGGUAAUACGGAGGGGGCAAGCGUUGUUCGGAAUUACUGGGCGUAAAGCGCGCGUAGGCGGUUAGCCUAGUCAGGCGUGAAAUCCCGGGGCUCAACCCCGGAACUGCGCUUGAUACUGGCUUACUAGAGGUCUGGAGAGGGUAGUGGAAUUCCCAGUGUAGAGGUGAAAU